AACGAACGCUGGCGGCAGGCUUAACACAUGCAAGUCGAGCGCCCCGCAAGGGGAGCGGCAGACGGGUGAGUAACGCGUGGGAAUCUACCCAUCUCUACGGAAUAACGCAUGGAAACGUGUGCUAAUACCGUAUACGUCCUUCGGGAGAAAGAUUUAUCGGAGAUGGAUGAGCCCGCGUUGGAUUAGCUAGUUGGUGGGGUAAAGGCCUACCAAGGCGACGAUCCAUAGCUGGUCGGAGAGGAUGAUCAGCCACACUGGGACUGAGACACGGCCCAGAAUCCUACGGGAGGCAGCAGUGGGGAAUAUUGGACAAUGGGCGCAAGCCUGAUCCAGCCAUGCCGCGUGAGUGAUGAAGGCCCUAGGGUUGUAAAGCUCUUUCACCGGUGAAGAUAAUGACGGUAACCGGAGAAGAAGCCCCGGCUAACUUCGUGCCAGCCGCCGCAGUAACAC
rnacentral:rRNA from 1 species